GAUGAACGCUGGCGGCGUGCCUAAUACAUGCAAGUCGAGCGAACAGAUGAGGAGCUUGCUCCUCUGACGUUAGCGGCGGACGGGUGAGUAACACGUGGAUAACCUACCUAUAAGACUGGGAUAACUUCGGGAAACCGGAGCUAAUACCGGAUAAUAUAUUGAACCGCAUGGUUCAAUAGUGAAAGACGGUUUUGCUGUCACUUAUAGAUGGAUCCGCGCCGCAUUAGCUAGUUGGUAAGGUAACGGCUUACCAAGGCAACGAUGCGUAGCCGACCUGAGAGGGUGAUCGGCCACACUGGAACUGAGACACGGUCCAGAAUCCUACGGGAGGCAGCAGUAGGGAAUCUUCCGCAAUGGGCGAAAGCCUGACGGAGCAACGCCGCGUGAGUGAUGAAGGUCUUCGGAUCGUAAAACUCUGUAUUAGGGAAGAACAAAUGUGUAAGUAACUAUGCACGUCUUGACGGUACCUAAUCAGAAAGCCACGGCUAACUACGUG
rnacentral:rRNA from 1 species